UGGCUUGCCUACGGCUACACAUGCAGUCGAGCGGUAGCACAGAGAGCUUGCUCUCGGGUGACGAGCGGCGGACGGGUGAGUAAUGUCUGGGAAACUGCCUGAUGGAGGGGGAUAACUACUGGAAACGGUAGCUAAUACCGCAUAACGUCGCAAGACCAAAGUGGGGGACCUUCGGGCCUCAUGCCAUCAGAUGUGCCCAGAUGGGAUUAGCUAGUAGGUGGGGUAAUGGCUCACCUAGGCGACGAUCCCUAGCUGGUCUGAGAGGAUGACCAGCCACACUGGAACUGAGACACGGUCCAGACUCCUACGGGAGGCAGCAGUGGGGAAUAUUGCACAAUGGGCGCAAGCCUGAUGCAGCCAUGCCGCGUGUAUGAAGAAGGCCUUCGGGUUGUAAANNGUACUUUCANGCGAGNGAGGAAGGNCRUUAAGGUUAAUAACCNUUGGYGAUUNGACGUUACUCGCAGNAAGNAAGCACCGGCUAACUCCGUNGCCAGCAGCCGCGGUAAUACGGAGGGUGCAAGCGUUNAAUCGGAAUUACUGGGCGUAAAGCGCACGCAGGCGGNUUUGUUAAGUCAGAUGUGAAAUCCCCGGGCUCAACCUGGGAACUGCAUUUGAAACUGGCAAGCUUGAGUCUUGUAGAGGGGGGUAGAAUUCCAGGUGUAGCGGUGAAAUGCGUAGAGAUCUGGAGGAAUACCGGUGGCGAAGGCGGCCCCCUGGACAAAGACUGACGCUCAGGUGCGAAAGCGUGGGGAGCAAACAGGAUUAGAUACCCUGGUAGUCCACGCUGUAAACGAUGUCGACUUGGAGGUUGUUCCCUUGAGGAGUGGCUUCCGGAGCUAACGCGUUAAGUCGACCGCCUGGGGAGUACGGCCGCAAGGUUAAAACUCAAAUGAAUUGACGGGGGCCCGCACAAGCGGUGGAGCAUGUGGUUUAAUUCGAUGCAACGCGAAGAACCUUACCUACUCUUGACAUCCAGAGAACUUAGCAGAGAUGCUUUGGUGCCUUCGGGAACUCUGAGACAGGUGCUGCAUGGCUGUCGUCAGCUCGUGUUGUGAANNAUGUUGGGUUAAGUCCCGCAACGAGCGCAACCCUUAUCCUUUGUUGCCAGCGGUCCGGCCGGGAACUCAAAGGAGACUGCCAGUGNAUAAACUGGAGGAAGGUGGGGAUNGACNGUCAAGUCAUCAUGGCCCUUACGAGNUAGGGCUACACACNGUGNCUACAAUGGCAUAUACAAAGAGAAGCGACCUCGCGAGAGCAAGCGGACCUCAUAAAGUAUGUCGUAGUCCGGAUUGGAGUCUGCAACUCGACUCCAUGAAGUCGGAAUCGCUAGUAAUCGUAGAUCAGAAUGCUACGGUGAAUACGUUCCCGGGCCUUGUACACACCGCCCGUCACACCAUGGGAGUGGGUUGCAAAAGAAGUAGGUAGCUUAACCUUCGGGAGGGCGCUUACCACUUUGAUGUAUUUCCA
rnacentral:rRNA from 1 species